UGGUUCGUUUCCAGGUCGCGGCAC
rnacentral:misc_RNA from 1 species